UACGGAGGGGGCAAGCGUUAAUCGGAAUUACUGGGCGUAAAGCGCGCGUAGGUGGUUUGUUAAGUUGGAUGUGAAAGCCUCGGGCUCAACUGGAGAACUGCAUCCGAAACUGGCUAGCUAGAGUACGGUAGAGGGUGGUGGAAUUUCCUGUGUAGCGGUGAAAUGCGUAGAUAUAGGAAAGAACACCAGUGGCGAAGGCGGCCACCUGGACUGAUACUGACACUGAGGUGCGAAAGCGUGGGGAGUAAACAGG
rnacentral:rRNA from 1 species